CUGGAACUCCUGGGACUCCAUCUGUGACUACGGGAAAGGAGUAUUUGCAACACGACUGUAUGGAAAGAAGAUGUGCGUGGUGACAAAGAUCGAUGAGACUGUUUUCCCCAGCCUGGAAGUCCUUAAACAGAAUCCCGUCAAGACCACAACACAGCUCUUCAAGUUUAACAUUAACCAAGUUCCCAUUGCUAACAUUGGCAUUUAUGGUGUCCAUAUUGAAGCCCUGUGUCAUGGAAUCCCAUCCUACACUG